UGCUUCAUUGCCAUUCUGCAU
rnacentral:piRNA from 1 species